CAGGAAGCAAGAAAUGCAGAGGAGAAGGCCAAGAAGGCCAUCACUGAUGCUGCUAUGAUGGCUGAGGAGCUGAAGAAGGAGCAGGAUACCAGCGCUCACCUGGAAAGGAUGAAGAAGAACCUGUAGGUUGCUGUUAAGGACCUGCAGCACCGCCUGGAUGAGGCGGAGAACCUGGCCAUGAAGGGUGGCAAGAUGCAGCUCCAGAAACUUGAGUCCAGGGUGCGUGAACUGGAGGCAGAGGUUGAGGCUGAGCAGAGACACGGAGCAGAUGCCAUUAAGGGUGUCCGCAAA